AAUUUAAACUUUAGUCCAUUUAGGAGAAUUUUUUUUUAUUAUUUGUUAAAUCAAAUAUGGUAAUUUGUGCUGUUUAAUUAUGAGUAUUGCAUAUAUUUUCAGCUAAACCCUCUAUUCUAUAUUGUUUUGCUACUAAUGUCAGGGAAAUCAAGCAUAUAAAGAUAGGCAGUGGCAGAAAGCCAUUGGAUUUUACACAGAAGCUAUCAAACUCUGUAGUGAUAAUGCAACGUACUAUAGUAACAAGGCUCAAGCGUAUCUAGAACAUGGAAGUUAUCUUCAAGCUGAGGCCGAUUGUACCAAGGUAAUUAGUCUCGACAAAAAGGUGUCUUCCUUAAAAAAAACAUUGUGCAUGAAUUUUGUCAUCGUAGUCUUGCAAAAGCUUGUGUUCAUUCCAAAUAUGAUCCUUACAGAAGUUUGUCUUCAUCACCGUAAGCAUCAACUAAAGGUUGAAAGCAAUGGAAGCACAGAAGUCUACUAACAAUGACUUGUUGGGCAUACUCUUGGAAUCAAAUUAUAUUUUAAAUUGCCAAUGAAUAUAUUUUUAUAUUUACA